rnacentral:rRNA from 1 species
GAGUUUGAUCUUGGCUCAGAACGAACGCUGGCGGCAUGCCUAACACAUGCAAGUCGAACGGGAUCCGGACUUCGGUCCGGUGAGAGUGGCGGACGGGUGAGUAACGCGUGGGAACCUGCCCAAUGGUCUGGGAUAACCGCGGGAAACUGCGGCUAAUACCGGAUAAGCCCGAGAGGGGAAAGAUUUAUCGCCGAUGGAGGGGCCCGCGUCCGAUUAGGUAGUUGGUGAGGUAACGGCUCACCAAGCCGACGAUCGGUAGCUGGUCUGAGAGGAUGAUCAGCCACACUGGGACUGAGAUACGGCCCAGACUCCUACGGGAGGCAGCAGUGGGGAAUAUUGGACAAUGGGGGCGAACCCUCGAUCCAGCAAUGCCGCGUGAGUGAUGAAGGCCUUAGGGUUGUAAAGCUCUUUUGGUCGGGGACGAUGAUGACGGUACCCGCAGAAUAAG